AAUAUUCUAAUUUUCUGAGAUACUGAAUUUGGGGUUUUCAUUAGUUGCCAGUUAUACUAAUCAAAAUUAAAAGAAGUAAACACUUGAAAUAUAUCAGUCUGUGUGGAAGGAAUG